AGCGAACGCUGGCGGCAGGCCUAACACAUGCAAGUCGAACGAAGUCUUCGGACUUAGUGGCGGACGGGUGAGUAACACGUGGGAACGUGCCUUUAGGUUCGGAAUAACUCAGGGAAACUUGUGCUAAUACCGAAUGUGCCCUUCGGGGGAAAGAUUUAUCGCCUUUAGGGCGGCCCGCGUCUGAUUAGCUAGUUGGUGAGGUAAAGGCUCACCAAGGCUACGAUCAGUAGCUGGUCUGAGAGGAUGACCAGCCACAUUGGGACUGAGACACGGCACAAACUCCUACGGGAGGCAGCAGUGGGGAAUCUUGCGCAAUGGGCGAAAGCCUGACGCAGCCAUGCCGCGUGGAUGAUGAAGGUCUUAGGAUUGUAAAAUCCUUUCACCGGUGAAGAUAAUGACUGUAGCCGGAGAAGAAGCCCCGGCUAACUUCGUGCCAGCCGCCGCCGUAAAAC
rnacentral:rRNA from 1 species